rnacentral:rRNA from 1 species
AUACGGAGGGUGCAAGCGUUAUUCGGAAUCACUGGGCGUAAAGGACGCGUAGGCGGGUUGGCAAGUCAGAUGUGAAAUCCUACAGCUUAACUGUAGAACUGCAUUUGAAACUGCUAACCUAGAGUAUGGGAGGGGGAGAUGGAAUUAGUGGUGUAGGGGUAAAAUCCGUAGAUAUCACUAGGAAUACCGAAAGCGAAGGCGAUCUCCUGGAACAUAACUGACGCUGAGGCGUGAAAGCGUGGGGAGCAAACAGGAUUAGAUACCCUUGUAGUCC